ncrna:unclassified sequences Streptococcus sRNA SpF59 (ldcC RNA)
CGACCGCUGCCGUGCGCGCACGGGAGCCAAGGCCAGACGGACAGCCGGGUCGAAUGCCGA